rnacentral:rRNA from 1 species
AGUGAACGCUGGCGGUAGGCCUAACACAUGCAAGUCGAACGGCAGCACAGUAAGAGCUUGCUCUUACGGGUGGCGAGUGGCGGACGGGUGAGGAAUACAUCGGAAUCUACCUUUUCGUGGGGGAUAACGUAGGGAAACUUACGCUAAUACCGCAUACGACCUACGGGUGAAAGCAGGGGAUCUUCGGACCUUGCGCGAUUGAAUGAGCCGAUGUCGGAUUAGCUAGUUGGCGGGGUAAAGGCCCACCAAGGCGACGAUACGUAGCUGGUCUGAGAGGAUGAUCAGCCACACUGGAACUGAGACACGGUCCAGACUCCUACGGGAGGCAGCAGUGGGGAAUAUUGGACAAUGGGCGCAAGCCUGAUCCAGCCAUACCGCGUGGGUGAAGAAGGCCUUCGGGUUGUAAAGCCCUUUUGUUGGGAAAGAAAAGCAGCAGGUUAAUACCCCGCUGUUCUGACGGUACCCAAAGAAUAAGCACCGGCUAACUUCGUG